AUUAUACCGUGAAACUGCGAAUGGCUCAUUAAAUCAGUUAUCGUUUAUUUGAUAGUACCUUACUACUUGGAUAACCGUGGUAAUUCUAGAGCUAAUACAUGCUAAAAACCCCAACUUCGGAAGGGGUGUAUUUAUUAGAUAAAAAACCAAUGCCCUUCGGGGCUCUUUGGUGAUUCAUGAUAACUUCUCAGAUCGCAUGGCCUUGCGCCGGCGACGGUUCAUUCAAAUUUCUGCCCUAUCAACUUUCGAUGGUAAGGUAUUGGCUUACCAUGGUUUCAACGGGUAACGGGGAAUUAGGGUUCGAUUCCGGAGAGGGAGCCUGAGAAACGGCUACCACAUCCAAGGAAGGCAGCAGGCGCGCAAAUUACCCAAUCCCGACACGGGGAGGUAGUGACAAUAAAUACUGAUACAGGGCUCUUUUGGGUCUUGUAAUUGGAAUGAGUACAAUUUAAACCUCUUAACGAGGAACAAUUGGAGGGCAAGUCUGGUGCCAGCAGCCGCGGUAAUUCCAGCUCCAAUAGCGUAUAUUAAAGUUGUUGCAGUUAAAAAGCUCGUAGUUGAACCUUGGGCCUGGCUGGCAGGUCCGCCUCACCGCGUGUACUUGACCGGCCGGGCCUUCUCUUCUGGAGAACCUCAUGCCCUUUACUGGGCGUGUUGGGGACCAGGACUUUUACUUUGAAAAAAUUAGAGUGUUCAAAGCAGGCCUUUGCUCGAAUAUGUUAGCAUGGAAUAAUAGAAUAGGACGUGCGGUCCUAUUUUGUUGGUUUCUAGGACCGCCGUAAUGAUUAAUAGGGACAGUCGGGGGCAUCAGUAUUCAAUUGUCAGAGGUGAAAUUCUUGGAUUUAUUGAAGACUAACUACUGCGAAAGCAUUUGCCAAGGAUGUUUUCAUUAAUCAGUGAACGAAAGUUAGGGGAUCGAAGACGAUCAGAUACCGUCGUAGUCUUAACCAUAAACUAUGCCGACUAGGGAUCGGGCGAUGUUUCAAUAUUGACUCGCUCGGCACCUUACGAGAAAUCAAAGUGUUU
rnacentral:rRNA from 1 species